AUGCUGAUGGAGAAAUGUGUACUGAAUCAUUUGGAUGAUUGCAGCUCAACCCUGAUAAUCACCCAUCUUGGCUGGGGUGCAGCUGAGCUAUGGUUGAUCUUUUGGGGCAUUUGGGUUGUCAAACUGCCCAAGGACCUGACUAUCAAACCAAAGUAUCUUGUAACAUUUACUGUUGGUUGUGAUCAGAAAAAAAAUGUUGAUGCAGCAGUUAAAAAGUUCUCUGAGGACUUUACCAUCCUUCUAUUUCAUUAUGAUGGUCAAACAACUGAAUGGGAUGAAUUUGAGUGGUCAAAGAGGGCCAUUCAUGUGAGCGUUCGGAGACAAACAAAAUGGUGGUAUGCCAAAAGAUUUCUGCAUCCUGACAUUGUGGCGCCAUAUGACUAUAUAUUUAUCUGGGAUGAAGAUCUAGGAGUUGAGCAUUUUAAUGCAGAAGAAUAUAUAAGACUAGUGAGGAAAUAUGGCUUGGAGAUUUCACAACCUGGUUUAGAACCUAAUAAAGGGUUAACAUGGCAGAUGACAAAAAGAAGAGGUGAUCGAGAAGUCCACAAAGAAAUAGAGGAGAAACCGGUCUGGUGCCCUAACCCACAUUUGCCUCCCUGUGCAGCAUAUGAAAAGCUUUGAGCAGUACUGUUUGUUGAGAUCAUGGCUCCUGUAUUUUCUAGAGAUGCAUGGCGGUGUGUGUGGCAUAUGCUUCAGAAUGACCUGGCACAUGGUUGGGGUCUUGACUUUGCUCUUAGAAGAUGUGUAGAGCCUGCCCAUGAGAAAAUUGGAGUUGUAGAUUCUCAAUGGAUCAUUCAUCAAACUUUUCCCUCGCUUGGGAACCAGGGGCAAGCGGAGAAUGGGAAGGCACCAUGGCAAGGGGUGAGGGAGAAGUGUAAAAAAGAGUGGACCAUGUUUCGAGUUCGCAUGACCAAUGCCAAAAAAGCAUAUUACAAGGAGAUGGGAAUUAAUCCUACCAAUUCCACAGCUGACCCUCACAGAAGCUGACCUGUAUACAAUCAUAAUUACCACUGUUCUUAGGGUUUAUUUUAUUUUAUUUUAUUUAAUAAUAACGAUCAUUUUUUAGUAUCCCAGAGGUUACUGAUGAGAGUGCUUUGAUCUUCCAUGCUGCUAGAAGUGAAUUAGGUAUCCGGGUGGCAGGUGAAAGAGAAAAAAAGUCAAUUAUUCGUUUCUAUCAUCGUCUAUUCAUUUUUGUUCUCUCUUUCACACAUUGAUAUGUAGACAUUAAAUGGGCAUGAAAGUUCCUCCUUCAUGGGCCAUUAUAGAUGAAAUAUGAAUCAAAGUUAAUGCUAGCAA